rnacentral:rRNA from 1 species
GAUGAACGCUGGCGGCGUGCUUAACACAUGCAAGUCGAACGGGAUCCCAGGAGCUUGCUCCUGGGUGAGAGUGGCGAACGGGUGAGUAAUGCGUGACCGACCUGCCCCAUACACCGGAAUAGCUCCUGGAAACGGGUGGUAAUGCCGGAUGCUCCAGUUGGAUGCAUGUCCUUCUGGGAAAGAUUCAUCGGUAUGGGAUGGGGUCGCGUCCUAUCAGCUUGAUGGCGGGGUAACGGCCCACCAUGGCUUCGACGGGUAGCCGGCCUGAGAGGGCGACCGGCCACAUUGGGACUGAGAUACGGCCCAGACUCCUACGGGAGGCAGCAGUGGGGAAUAUUGCACAAUGGGCGCAAGCCUGAUGCAGUGACGCCGCGUGCGGGAUGACGGCCUUCGGGUUGUAAACCGCUUUUGACUGGGAGCAAGCCCUUCGGGGUGAGUGUACCUUUCGAAUAAGC